rnacentral:SRP_RNA from 1 species
GCCUGGCGCAGUGGUGCAUGCCUGUAGUUCCAGUUACUCGGGAGACUGAGGUGGGAGGAUCACUUGAGCCCAGGAAUUCUGGGCUAUAGUGCACUAUGCCAUCGGGUGUCCGUAACAAGUUUGGUAUCAAUAUGGUAGCCUCCCAGGAGUAGGGGACCACCAGGUUACCUAAGGAGGUGUGAACCAGCCCAGGUUAGAAAUGGAGCAGGUCAAAACUCCUGUGCUGAUUAGUAGUGGGAUCGCACCUGUGAGUAGCCACUGCACUCCAGCCUGGGCAACAUAGCGAGACCCCGUCUCU